rnacentral:rRNA from 1 species
UGGGGAAUAUUGCACAAUGGGCGGAAGCCUGAUGCAGCAACGCCGCGUGCGGGAUGACGGCCUUCGGGUUGUAAACCGCUUUCACCCAUGACGAAGCGCGAGUGACGGUAGUGGGGGAAGAAGCACCGGCCAACUACGUGCCAGCAGCCGCGGUGAUACGUAGGGUGCGAGCGUUGUCCGGAAUUAUUGGGCGUAAAGAGCUUGUAGGCGGUUGAUCGCGUCGAUAGUGAAAUCCCGGGGCUCAACCUCGGGCUUGCUGUCGAUACGGGUUGACUUGAGGAAGGUAGGGGAGAAUGGAACUCCCGGUGGAGCGGUGGAAUGCGCAGAUAUCGGGAAGAACACCGGUGGCGAAGGCGGUUCUCUGGACCUUUCCUGACGCUGAGAAGCGAAAGCGUGGGGAGCAAACA